GGGCGAGCCUUGCGCAAGGCGGGCGCCCCGGGCUGGGCCCCCCCGCCCCGCCACGCCCGCCCGGACUUCGGCCCCGCCACCGCCGCCGCCCGGGCCCGCGGCCGCCCCGGCUCCCCCCGGGCCCCUCGGUGUCCCCUCGGUGUCUCCCCCGUUCCCGGGCUCCUCUCGGUGUCCCCCCAGUUCCCAGGGGAGCAGCGUGGGCUCGGUGUUCCCCCCGUGUUCGGGGGCGCAGGGUGGGCUCGGUGUCCCCCGUUCCCGGGGUCCCCACCCGUUCCCGGGGUCCCCCUAAUCCCCAGGGGUGCGGGGUCCCCUCGGUGUCCCCUCGUUGUCCCCCCCCGUUCCGGGGUCCCCUCGGUGUCCCCUCGGUGUCCCCCCCGUUCCGGGGUCCCCUCCGUGUCUCCCUCGUUCCCGAGGUCCCCUCGGUGUCCCCCCCGUUCCAGGGUCCCCUCGAUGUCCCCUCGGUGUCCCCCCCGUUCCCGGGGGCGCACAGAUCCCCCUUUGUGGCACCGCACAAAGCCGCGAUUGUGGCGGGCGGCACCGAGGGGGGGGACCCGAGCCCCCCAAACCGGGACCCCCGGGGGCACCGAGGGCUGCGGGUCCCGCCAGACGUGACUCAGGCCCCGGCGCUCAAAGGCGGCUUUGUCCGGCCCGGGACCCUCCGGGGGCGGCCGCGGAGCUCGGGCCACGCUCGGGAAGGGCCCCCCCGCCCCGGCCGCGCUAUUCGAGCACGGAAAGGGCUAAAAAAAGGUCCCAGCUGCGAUGGCAGCGGCCCCCGGCCCCCGCCGGACCGGGGAUGGGCACGGGGGGCCCGGAACGGGGGCGCUGCGACCCCCGGGAGACACCGGGGGGGUCCCCAGAGGGUUGGGUUGGGGGGGCACCAUCCCGCCCAUCCCGGGACCCCCGAACGCGGCGGUGAAUCAUUAACGGGGUCCCACGGCGGGGUUGGGAUUGGGAUUGGGGGGUUCGCGACCCCCGGGUGCACCUGCCCGCGGGGGUGGGGGGGCGAUGCUGGAGCCCCCUCCCCAUCCCGGGCGCCGCGGCGGCGGCGGGACCGGGCGUUAUCAGCGCCGGCAGCUCCGGCACGUCCCCGCUAUCAGCCGCGUGCCACGGCGGCCCGGAAUAGCACCGGGGGGCACCGGGGGGCACCGGGAGGGGCUCGCUGCGACCUCCUGCCCUCGGCACAAAGCGGGCUGUGUGUGCGGCCCCGAACAAAGGGGGCUCUCAGAGACCGGGAUUUGGGGGGAGCGGGGCUGGGGCCGCGCCCUCGCUGUCCCCGGGGUGUCCCCGAGCCCCCCGAGGUGUCCCCGAGCCCCCCGAGGUGUCCCCGCACCCCGCGCUGUUCCCUCUCUCCCGGUGCACCCAGAUCCCGUGGGUGGCACCGGAGGCGUCGUCGGUGGCACAUGGAGCGGGGGGCACAGCGAGGGGUCCCCCCGUGUGCCCCCCACCCCCGGGUACCCCCGGGCACCCCCGGGGUUUCGGGGCGGCGCCGGCCCCACCUGCGCGUCCAGCGCUCGCUGUUUUCCCUUUGGGAAUUGAAAAACAACUCCCGGGCGGCCGCGGCCCUUCCGGGGUUCCGGGGUUCCGGGGUUCCGGGGCGGGCAGGGCCGGGGGUCCCUCCGGGGGUCCCCCCGUGAAGGAUCCCCCCCGUUCCCCUCGGGGGUCCCCCAAAGGCAUCGCCGGGCCCGGUCCCGCAGCCUAAAAUAGCCCCGGGCAGCUGCGGGGCCGCAGGUGCCGGGACCGGGAGGGGCAGCGAGAGCGGGACCGAACCCCGAGAACGGGAACUGAGAACGGAACCGAGCACGGAACGGGGCACCGAGAGCGGGACCGAGACCGGGACGGGGCACCGAGAGCGGGACCGAACCCCGAGAACGCGAACCGAGAACGGAACCGAGCACAGGAGGGGGCACCGAGCCCCGGGAAGGAGCCCAAGAGGAGCCACCGAGCUCGGGACGGAGCCCGGGAGCGGCCACCGAUCCCCAGCCCCGCCGGAGCCGCGGUCCCGGAGCGGUUUCAGUGCCGGUCCCGGUGCCCCGGGGCCGUGCGGUCUCCCCGGGACAGCCCCGGGAGCUCCCGGGACGCCCCCGCAGAGGAAGCGCCCGCGGGAAUUGCCGGGAUUGGAUCGGAUCGGGUCCGGUACCGGCGGAACCGGCACAGCAGCACCGCCGCGACCCCCGAGCGCUCCGGUGUUUCCCGGUUCCCCUGUGCCGAACGCCGCGGCGCAGCCCCGGUUCCCCCGUGCCGGUGCCGGUGCUCACCUGCCUGCGCGGAGCCGGGCGCGGGGAGCAGCAGCGGCAGCAGCAGCAGCAGCGCCCGGGGCCGCUCCCGGUGCCGGUGCGGCUCCAUCGCGGCGCCCCGGUAGCGGCGGAGCGUGCCCGGGAAUGCACCUGGCGCGGGGCCGGGCCGGGCGGGGCC
rnacentral:lncRNA from 1 species